rnacentral:lncRNA from 1 species
UUGCCUUCUAAUCAAGUAAUUAUUUACUACACUGCCAUCUGUCUUUAUUUUGCUAAGCCACUUGAUCAGACACAGCAGUAUCCCCGUGCUCUGAAUAAUUUAUUAAGAGAAACUAUCAGUCAUCAGUAUUGGAUGAGUUGCUACAGUAUACAAGUUACAAUGUUAUGAGCAUCGAUCUUAUUUAUAUUAAAAGUUAUUCUCACAUAAGCCUGUGAUACAAUAUAAAAAUAAUUGUCGUUAGCUGGUAAAUUAUCUAUAAAGCUGAUUUCUAUUCACUGCUUUAUUAACUACAGUAUAUGGGCACUCUGAAUUGCUAAUAUUUCCUUUAAAUUAUAAUCUGUGAUGACACUGUGGUGCCUGUGUUGGAAAAGCUAUGAUGACAAUCAUUAACAUAGUAUAAUGCAAUACUUAAGAUUUAUUAGGCCCUUAUUAGGCCCUGAAUUACAGCAUAAUAUAAUGAAAUGCAAGUUUAUUUCUUCCAAUUCAAAAUCUAAUAAGAGGUUUGUGUCGUAAAUUACUUUUCAGCUACAUCACAUCUUUCAGCUUGAAGAGAUCAACAUAACACACAAAGCAAAU